CGGGGCGUGGCGCAGCCUGGCAGCGCACCUGCUUUGGGAGCAGGGGGUCGGAGGUUCAAAUCCUCUCGCCCCGA
rnacentral:tRNA from 1 species